UACGUGUACUACGUUCGUAACAUAACCACGUCUCCUCCUCGUUAUGAGUCUCACGCCCUCAAUUCUCUCAUAGACGACUUUGAUUCCAGUGUUGUCUAGUCUAGACUAUUUCUUCUCCUCCUAAAACUCCUUCUUGAAACACUUUUACGUCAGUGAAAAAACGUAAAACUGCACAAGACGGUUAAAGAUAUAUAACGAAUAUACCAACGUGGGUUCAGAACCAAUAUACUGAAUGUUACGGGUACAUUCAUAUAUAAUCUAUAGUCUUAAACAAUACAAGUUCGUAAUCUUUCGACAUUUUAAUAUUGUAAAUCGUGAUCUCGAGCUCCUUAAGUCGUAGUGACCUAAUUCUCUUUUGAGGUUCGGAAACAAACUCGUUAUGUUUAUUUCAUAAUACCUUAUAUGAUAUUUUAGAUUUUAGUAUUCCUCGCAUCUUAUCAAAUGGACCUCUAAGUCCACAGAUAUCUGCCCACACUCCACGUUGGAUAGUAGAGUAUUUAUUUUAUAUACUUGAACUCCUUUAUAUGAACACGGCCUAACAAACUCUACACGUAGUCAAUUCGGGUACAACAACACUUAAAACGACCAGAUAGAUAACUACUCCCACCCUUUAAUAGUGACCAGAUGAGGCGAAAGUACAAUAUAGUGAAAAAGAAAUACGAACGCUCCCGCAUUAAGUACAAAACACACGGUUGUCACCGGUAAUAAAACAGACUGGCAACUUUUUAACUCUUGCUCUAUUGUCAACUUUCACCGCAAGCGCAUCCUUUAGUGGACGAAGUAACUGACAUCCGUCUUCCAUGUAAACCAUAUAUAAGCCAUGAGAAGAGGAUGAAUAUGGUCAAGUCGAAAACUUCAAGACACAAAUCCUAAGUACAUUAUUUAAUCUACUAGUGUGGGUGGUUAUGUGUACUGGUCGGCAGCGAGGAGUGCUUGUGAGGCCUUACUGCAGAAUCGUGCAGCAGUCACCUCCUCUACUGGUCUCAGGACGUGAGUCGCCGACCUUGUCUCCCCGCCUCGUAGAAGACUGUAGGAGUAGACUGGAAUCAAGGCUCUAUGAAUCAAAGAAUCAAUGUAGGUGAGGAUCUAUCGAUAUCUAUCGAUUUGUCUAUCCUAAGUUUACGAAAACGGAUGUUAGGUACCGAUCGAUCUAUACCUACAUGCCCAAGUAGAACUUUACUUUAUUAGUAAAUACAUACAAACGAAAACCGGGUAAGUAAAACACAAUUAGAAUAGAACGAAAGAACAAAAAGCCCCUUAAAUUGAACGGAUCGAUGUUUGAUAAAUUAAUACGUACACCAGCCGAGCCGGAGGACGAGGAGACCGACCGAAGGUGCCGGCGGAUGAGACCUACACAACGGUUGUUACAUUCACUAGUACUCUGAGUGAAGAGGGUGUCGGAAGAGAACAGCUGUUCCGAGCUACGAGGACGAAGAACACUGGGGUUUCAGUUCCGCGCUGAGACGAUGUUGGGAUUCUGAGGAGAUCUACCCAAAAGGGGGACUAAAAAAAGUGUAGGAGACCUACUUGAAAGAAAUGACCUUAAAAAUGACAAAACAGUUGACUACAAAACCUCAGAUUCGUCAAAUACAAAAAAUGUCUAACUAUACAUGGGGGAUAUGACUGUUUCACCCAGAAAGUUACCUACCCAGCUCAGUUUACAUACGUAUAUAUUUAUAUGGUGUGGACUCAAGUCAACACAAAAGAGUCUAAAUACAUGCUUACUGUGGACAAAAGUAUUGAAGAAAUGUUAGUUCCAGUAUCCUACGCUAACUUGUACGUUGUUGUAUGGAGUAAGUCGAUACUACAAUCGGAAAACGAAAUCAAUAGUCCGUUUUAAAGAACGCAAAACAUGGAAGUACACGAGAGCAAGUUUGCAGUUACUACCAACCCUUUAAAGACAAUUUACACCAAUUGUUAUUCCUAUUUCAGCUGAUAUCAAUCAAACGAAAAGAUAACGACCCAUUAGAAGAAUAAGGUAGUAAAAUAUCCAUAAAAAUACAACUUCCAUAGAAGAGGUCUCGGCUACCAUAAAGAAAGUGUUAUGACUAGACUAAGAACAGACGAGAUCCACAGUGACAGUACCGAACGAACUGUAAUGAGCCUAUAUACAGUCCGUCACCAUUGACCAUUGGAAGAAAACUACCAACAGCUUUGUGUAGAAGCCAGUGUGUAUGUGGUAGGCUCCAUAAUUUAUUGGAUAGUAGAGUAAAAAUAGCAGCACAUAAACUCCCUCUACUAUGCCGACGAGAAACGCAGGUUACAUGCACGAGCAGAGACCGAAUUUGCCCGAACCCCGACUCUGGCCACGCACGGAGGAAGUGAUACACACUAAAUUAGUACGUCACGAAAUAAAUCAUGUAACUAUAAGAUUACAUGGGCAGCAAGACAAAAAGACGAGAAUUUAUUAACAACCAUUAAACCUUAUACACUAAUGAACGAAUCAACGACUUAACUCUUUGUAUACGCUAAUGAAGUUAAAUAGGGUAUAUACACGUCUGUCCCGACUCAACGAUCUAUCUUUAUUUAAACCAUUAUCAAUAGACUACAGAUUAAAUAAGUUUGUCUCACUAUCGGAAUUUGACGACUGUAUACGACGUACUAGUAGUCCAACAAACGACGUAAGACUCAAUCACAGUGUAUCUCUUUACGUUUAGUAUAUACUGGGAAAAGACGAACAAUACGUCUAAAUGAACAUAAAAAACACGAGUCUUAAGGGUUCCGAACAGAAAUAAGAUUAUCUGUUCCGACUAAUGAAGUUACGUGAUACACAACAACUAACAAAACACUAGGAUGAAGUACAAAUGUAACCAUCCCAAACAUUAACGGUGAUCUUUAUCCGCUCUUUUACCAUGAUGUCCAUCAACUAACGUGAAAUGACUAAAACGUUUGGCACUAUUGGCGACUUGACGAACAACGAAACCACUUAGAUAAAUUACAUCACGAGAUACCUCUACCUCUUGUAUACAGUUCUACAAAUACCGUAUCACCAACGCGGUGUUUUCACAAAGGAACGAUACUUAGUUUAAACGUUAGGUCACGAAAACAGAGAUAACGAUUUAUUCCUGGAAGCGCUAACCGACUACUCCCCUACGGGUUCUCCAGGCACCAUCCCCACCUCGUCGUUCCGGCCUCUGGGUCCGCCGCCUGCGGAGUGCCCAUCUUCUCACCAACUGCUACACCUGUUCCUCGUUAUCACAGUACCUAUGGGAAAUUUGAAAGGCAGCAACACAAAUCGUGAAGUACAGGAUUAACUUACAACUUAAGAACGGUGAUAUCUUUGAACGUCGUAUACAACUAAUUAAUAAAGUACUCAUACACACUC
rnacentral:rRNA from 1 species